CGGACGGGUGAGUAACACGUGGAUAACCUACCUAUAAGACUGGGAUAACUUCGGGAAACCGGAGCUAAUACCGGAUAAUAUAUUGAACCGCAUGGUUCAAUAGUGAAAGACGGUUUUGCUGUCACUUAUAGAUGGAUCCGCGCCGCAUUAGCUAGUUGGUAAGGUAACGGCUUACCAAGGCAACGAUGCGUAGCCGACCUGAGAGGGUGAUCGGCCACACUGGAACUGAGACACGGUCCAGACUCCUACGGAGGCAGCAGAG
rnacentral:rRNA from 1 species